GACGAACCGAGCGAACGUUGUUCGGAAUCACUGGGCUUAAAGGGCGCGUAGGCGGGUGCUCAAGUCUGUGGUGAAAUCCUCCGGCUCAACCGGAGAACGGCCAUGGAUACUGGGUGCCUCGAGGGUGGUAGGGGUAUGCGGAACUAUCGGUGGAGCGGUGAAAUGCGUUGAUAUCGAUAGGAACUCCGGUGGCGAAGGCGGCAUACUGGACCACUUCUGACGCUGAGGCGCGAAAGCCAGGGGAGCGAACGGG
rnacentral:rRNA from 1 species